rnacentral:rRNA from 1 species
UGGAGGAACACCAGUGGCGAAGGCGACUCUCUGGUCUGUAACUGACGCUGAAGAGCGAAAGCGUGGGGAGCGAACAGGAUUAGAUACCCUGGUAGUCCACGCCGUAAACGAUGAGUGCUAAGUGUUAGGGGGUUUCCGCCCCUUAGUGCUGCAGCUAACGCAUUAAGCACUCCGCCUGGGGAGUACGGUCGCAAGACUGAAACUCAAAGGAAUUGACGGGGGCCCGCACAAGCGGUGGAGCAUGUGGUUUAAUUCGAAGCAACGCGAAGAACCUUACCAGGUCUUGACAUCCUCUGACAAUCCUAGAGAUAGGACGUCCCCUUCGGGGGCAGAGUGACAGGUGGUGCAUGGUUGUCGUCAGCUCGUGUCGUGAGAUGUUGGGUUAAGUCCCGCAACGAGCGCAACCCUUGAUCUUAGUUGCCAGCAUUCAGUUGGGCACUCUAAGGUGACUGCCGGUGACAAACCGGAGGAAGGUGGGGAUGACGUCAAAUCAUCAUGCCCCUUAUGACCUGGGCUACACACGUGCUACAAUGGACAGAACAAAGGGCAGCGAAACCGCGAGGUUAAGCCAAUCCCACAAAUCUGUUCUCAGUUCGGAUCGCAGUCUGCAACUCGACUGCGUGAAGCUGGAAUCGCUAGUAAU